CUUUUCAGGAGUGUCCUAAAUGCACAACACAGGAUAAGGAAAACACAAAAGAAAAGAACACAUCCUCAGUACAGCUGGAAGAUCAUUCAGUGGUGCUGUCCGGUAGAGAACAAGCCUGUGGCUUCUUGCAAGGAAGACACUUUUGUUGUGGAAGAAACUGCUACUAUUUUUCUAAAAAAGAAGAAACAUGGGAGGAGAGCAGGAAUUUAUGCCGGAACAUGGAUUCUAGCCUUGUGAAGAUUGAUGACAUCCAGGAACUGAAUUUCAUUCAAUCACACAUCAAAUACACUUACUGGAUUGGAUUAUACCAAAAAGAAGAUACAAAUGAGUGGAAGUGGCGGGACAACACGAAAC